GGCUGGCAUAGGUGGUGAAUGAGAGUCCUGUAGAAAUCUGCAGGUAGCUGUUCUCUUUGAACUUGAUUAGGAAAGAGGACGAAAGCUAUUCAUUUGAAUCCAAGGUCCACCUGUGAGUUGGCUAUAGGCCUUAUCAACACCAGAAGCAAGAGAAGAGGAGAAAAUUCCACCAUAUCAGUGCAGGUCUAUCUCCAGUGCUAGCUGUGGUGGCUUUGGAGUGACAGAAGAUCAUCACCUUCAACCUAGUGAAAGAAUAUUAGGACACUGACCCAAGACAUACUGAGAACCAAGGCCAAGACUGUGUAGAGCUAUC
rnacentral:lncRNA from 1 species